CGGCGCUGCUGCGGAGCGGGCUCACCCUGCGGAGGAAGCGCAGCGCCGCUGGGGGCCGGACUCUAUCAAGAAGAAUUUCCAAUCCAUACCUCGAACAUACUCCAUCCCAGAUUUAUGGGGAGAAUUCUUCUUGUGCAGGAAGAGCGUUACGGAAUAUUAUCAUCGUUCAGGCAGCUGACCUGAUAAAGGACAGAGCGAACCUCAAGGGGUUU